AAAAAUGUUUCCAUAAACGCAUUUAAUGGCGUAACUAUGUUACUAUUUCCACCCAGAAUAAAGAUAGUUUUCGGCCGUGGCUGCGCUGGAGUCCGAGCCGAGGUAGGAAACCCAAACGCCGCCGUGUUUGUGUGAUAGAGCUUAGAUCGGGUUUGAUUAAAUAAUCUCUGAUAUAAAUAACAAUAAUCGGGUUGAAUAACUUCACAUGGUGUGUCUGGUGUGUUUCCAGCAUUCGUAGUGUUGAUCAGCAGAGAAAUAGUCCGCCAAGACGUUGAGGUUGCUUAGAAUCCAGAGACUCUGUCCAUGCAAGUGAACGGAG
ensembl:lncRNA